AUUGAUAUGAAGAGCUUGCUCUGAUUUGAUUUUAUCUGACAAAGAGUGGCGAACGGGUGAGUAACACGUGGGUAACCUACCUCUUAGCAGGGGAUAACAUUUGGAAACAAGUGCUAAUACCGUAUAACACUAACAACCGCAUGGUUGUUAGUUGAAAGAUGGUUCUGCUAUCACUAAGAGAUGGACCCGCGGUGCAUUAGCUAGUUGGUAAGGUAAUGGCUUACCAAGGCGAUGAUGCGUAGCCGAGUUGAGAGACUGAUCGGCCACAAUGGGACUGAGACACGGCCCAUACUCCUACGGGAGGCAGCAGUGGGGAAUCUUCCACAAUGGGCGCAAGCCUGAUGGAGCAACGCCGCGUGUGUGAUGAAGGGUUUCGGCUCGUAAAACACUGUUAUAAGAGAAGAACGACAUUGAGAGUAACUGUUCAGUGUGUGACGGUAUCUUAUCAGAAAGGAACGGCUAAAUACGUGCCAGCAGCCGCGGUAAUACGUAUGUUCCAAGCGUUAUCCGGAUUUAUUGGGCGUAAAGCGAGCGCAGACGGUUAUUUAAGUCUGAAGUGAAAGCCCUCAGCUCAACUGAGGAAGGGCUUUGGAAACUGGAUAACUUGAGUGCAGUAGAGGAAAGUGGAACUCCAUGUGUAGCGGCGAAAUGCGUAGAUAUAUGGAAGAACACCGGUGGCGAA
rnacentral:rRNA from 1 species